rnacentral:rRNA from 1 species
AAACACAGUCAUAUCACCCUGCAGCCUGAGACCAGUUACUCACUGAAGCUAAGCAGGGCUGAGCCUGGUCAGUACUUGAAUGGCAGGGGUGUUAGUGAGGCCAGCUCAACCUCGGUCUGUGUAAG